AAGACCCUAUUCUCUUCCUCAGGGCUGCUUCCAUGUCCUCUAACUCACCAAAUGUGAAGAGGUGACUUAAUUUAAUUUAAUUUAAACUACACUUUAAAGUCAUUUCCAGAAGGCACUUUAUUUUUUGCAGGAGGGUUAUGGACUUUACUUCUUACUGUGGGACCAAGUGAGGUCUCUGGAACUGACACAAAGUGGUCAUCCAGGGCCCUGACCUGCCAGCCCAUGUCUCACAUGUGGCGGAGCUUUGGGGCAUCCACUUGCUUUAUGGGGCACUCCAAGGCCCAAUGGCCUCUGCCACUGCCACCACCAAAAGGCGCCACGUCCUCAGCAGUAGCUUUGACCUAGUGGGACGAGACUGGGCAGUGGCAGCUUGUGGGGUCUGAUGAGGUUGUCCAAGUGGUGUGAGAGAUUUGCAGGUCCUUCCCAGCUGGUCUGGUCAGCAGGCAGACAUGCUGUUAUAACAUCAAGACAGCGGCCUUUCAUACCAAUGGAAUAUCCACAUACUGGAAUGUCAAAUUCAUAUAAUAAUCACACAGUGACUUAAUAUUAAUAUAACUUCCACAGAAUGGCCUCUAGUAACUUUCAGAUUCUUCUUAAGAGGGGUGAUGGUUUCAAAGUUUUGGCUGAACUGAGUUUGGAACUGUUAGCCUUUGUAAUGAAGUUUGAUGUUGUCUCCUUGUUUUCUGGCAUGGUAUUGACAAGGAUGUUUUAAAAAGUAAUUCAUGUGGUGAUAGUUCCAAAUUCAGAGGAAAUCUGCACUAGUGGUAUGAAGUACUCUUGAUCCUUUCUCUCCCAUUCCCCAGUGGUUAUUGCCUUUCUAGAUUUGCAACUUUGCAUCAAAUACCGCAGUGUAUUUUACUCACAGUGGAAAAACACUUAAAGGUGUCACCUCUGACCCCCAAAUCAUGAAAAUACAAUUAUUUUUACAUUAUAUUCUGAUCUGCAGGCCUGCUUCACUUUUAC
rnacentral:lncRNA from 1 species